rnacentral:misc_RNA from 1 species
CUCUCUUUCUCUCUCUCUCUCUCUCUCUCCAUUUGUUUUGGCAAAAACAAAAGAAACCCACCAGCCUGCUUGGCUUGCUUUGUAUUGUGAUGAUCUGCCAUACAAAGAAAAGCACAACUUGGGCAGAUGUCUCCAAUUUUUAAGCAGCCUUUUUUUCUGGCUACCCUCAAGCUCAAGCUAAGCUAAUUGCCAGUCAGCUUCACUUGUUAGCUCUUGAGGAUGGACUUGUUUGGUUCAGGUUAUAUUUACCACGGGGGAACUGAUUUUCUUGGUUGAAAACUUUUGCUGCUGUAUUUAUGUUGAUUCAUGUCCAUGAA